UACGGGGGGGGCGAGCGUUGUUCGGAAUUAUUGGGCGUAAAGGGCGCGUAGGCGGUGUGGUAAGUCUGUUGUGAAACCUCCAGGCUCAACUUGGAGCUUGCAUCAGAAACUGCCGUGCUAGAGUGUGGGAGAGGAGAGUGGAAUUCCUGGUGUAGCGGUGAAAUGCGUAGAUAUCAGGAGGAACACCGGUGGUGUAGACGGCUCUCUGGACCGUAACUGACGCUGAGGCACGAAAGCGUGGGUAGCAAACAGG
rnacentral:rRNA from 1 species